AUGGCGUCGCCUCUGACGGAGAUCCCGGACCACCUCCUUGCCGAGAUCUUCCUCCGCCUGCCCGACCCGGCCGACCUCGCCCGCGCCUCCGCAGCCUGCGUCACCUUCCGCCAAAUCUCCACCGACGGCUCCUUCCUCCGCAGAUUCCGCCGCCUCCACGCACCACCACUCCUCGGAUUCCUCGACUACGGCAGGUUCCGUCCCGCUUUGCCGCCGCACCCAUCCGCGCCCGCAGCCCGCGCGCUCGCCCUCGCCGCCGACUUCUACUUCUCCUUCAUCGACUCCUACUGCCACUGGACCGUGCAGGACUCCCGCGACGGCCGCGUCCUCCUCGACCGCGACCUCCGACAACAUGAGCAGCCCCCUGUUUUCAAAGAUCUCGCGGUGUGCGACCCCUUGCACCGCCGCUACGUCCUGCUCCCCCCGGUACCUCACGGCCUAGCCGCCUCGCUUGAGCACCCGUUCCCCAUGGUAAGCGACGCCCGGUGCAAGGCUUUCCUCGUUCCCCUCGGCAAGGAGGAGGUAGCGGCGGCAGAGACAACAUUCAGAGUGAUCUUGAUGGCAAAUUGCAAAACUAGUCUGGCUGCCUUCGUCUUCUCUUCGAGCACUGGGCAAUGGCAAGCCUCUGCAUCCAAGGUUUGGAGCGAUUUGGCCCUUGGCAAGCACGACAUGGCCGAGAUGUCAUGGGUCCACCCUUUUAUUCUCAGGCGCCAUUUUGCUUACGGCUGCUUCUACUGUGACUGGGUGGAAUUCGGGAGUAAAAAGUUACUCUUGCUUGACACCAGGAAGAUGGAGUUCUCCAUUGCUGACCUCCCGCCCAGGGAAUGGAACAAGGAAGGAGGAAUAGCCAUUGUGGAGGCAGGGGAAGGCAGGCUUGGGAUCUUUGGUUUCCAUGGUAAAACUUCAUCCAAUCUCAGCUAUACCGUUGCAUGGAACAAAGGCGAGAGUCCCAGCCAGUGGGAGGUGGAGAAGACAAUCCCACUAGAUUCUGGGUACAGAUAUUUUAUCAGAGAUGCAACCCAGAGGUAUUUGCUAUUGAUAAGGACAGCAGCCCUGCCACGCCCAUCUCUAGGCUACCCGCAAUAUGAAUAUUUCUCAAUGGACGUCAAGACAUUGCAGCUUCAGAGGGUUUGUGUGAAACAAUGCCAGCCUAUGAUGCCCGGGACACACAUAUAUACCAACUUCACACCAUCAUUGUUGUCUUCACCGACAAUAUGA
rnacentral:rRNA from 1 species